rnacentral:rRNA from 1 species
UACAGAGACUGCGAGCGUUAUUCGGAUUCACUGGGCGUAAAGGGUGCGCAGGCGGCCAAGUGUGUGAUGCGUGAAAGCCCGGGGCUUAACCCCGGAAUUGCACCUCAAACUACAUGGCUAGAGCAUUGGAGAGGGUAGCAGAAUUCAUGGUGUAGCAGUGAAAUGCGUAGAUAUCAUGAGGAAUACCAGAGGCGAAGGCGGCUACCUGGACAAUUGCUGACGCUCAGGCACGAAAGCGUGGGGAGCAAAAGGG